AGCGAACGUUUGCGGCGGGCCUAACACAUGCAAGUCGAACGGGCAGUCCCUUCGGGGGCUGUCAGUGGCGCACGGGUGCGUAACACGUAGGUAAUCAACCCUCGGGUUCGGGAUAACACUUCGAAAGGGGUGCUAAUACCGGAUGCGACGAGCGUCUCCUCGGAGAUGCACGGGAAAGAUCCGCAAGGGUCGCCCGAGGACGAGCCUGCGGCCCAUCAGCUUGUUGGUGAGGUAAUGGCUCACCAAGGCUAAGACGGGUAGCUGGUCUGAGAGGAUGAUCAGUCACACUGGAACUGAGACACGGUCCAGACUCCUACGGGAGGCAGCAGUGGGGAAUAUUGCGCAAUGGGCGAAAGCCUGACGCAGCCACGCCGCGUGAGCGAUGAAGGCCU
rnacentral:rRNA from 1 species